UACCUCGCGGCGGCAUUACCAUGCGAGUCGAACUGGUAGCCGGCAGAAUCUUGCUUCUUUGCCGACGAGUGAUGGACAGGUGAGUAAUGCUUGGGAGAUCCCGUCUUAUGGAGGGGGAUAAUCGAUCGGGGCAAACUGUGCUGUCUCAUGCCGCGUAAUGUCUACCGAUUACAGGGUGGGACCUUCAGGACACCUGCCCUAAGAUGAGCCCAACUGGGAUUACGUUAAGGUAGGUGAGGGUUACACGCCUACCUUGCCUGUCCAUCUCCUGCUGCGCCUCUACAGGAUGACAAACCUCUCCUGGCACUGAGCACUUAGUCCAUCACUCCUACGGGAGGCCACAGGGGGGAAUCUUGUUGAGUGCUCGGAACCCUGAUCCAUCCCUGACUCGCGAAUCUCGAACGUCUUCCUGCUGUAAAGGUCUUUCGGUCGCUCGGUAGGUGUUUUGUUGAUUUCCCCAAACUCUUGACAUUACCUACGAAAGAAGCUGCGACUAACUCGGCGCCAGCAGCCCCGGAACU
rnacentral:rRNA from 1 species